GAUGAACGCUGGCGGCGUGCCUAAUACAUGCAAGUCGAGCGAACGGACGAGAAGCUUGCUCCUCUGAUGUUAGCGGCGGACGGGUGAGUAACACGUGGAUAACCUACCUAUAAGACUGGGAUAACUUCGGGAAACCGGAGCUAAUACCGGAUGAUAUUUUGAACCGCAUGGUUCAAAAGUGAAAGACGGUUUUGCUGUCACUUAUAGAUGGAUCCGCGCUGGAUUAGCUAGUUGGUAAGGUAACGGCCUAGCAAGGCAACGAAGCAUAUCCGACCUGAGAGGGUGAUCGGCCACACUGGAACUGAGACACGGUCCAGACUCCUACGGGAGGCAGCAGUGGGGAAUAUUGCCCAAGGGGGGCAAGCCUGAUCCAGCAAUACCGCGUGGGUGAAGAAGGUCUUCGGGUUGUAAAGACCUUUUGUUGGGAAAGAAAAAAAGCAGGUUAAUACCGCGCUAUUCUGACGGUACCCAAAGAAUAAGCCCCGGCUAACUUCGUG
rnacentral:rRNA from 1 species